rnacentral:tRNA from 1 species
GGGGUUGUGGCUCAGUGGUAGGGCGCUUAUCUAGCAGAUAUGAGGCACUGGGUUCAAUUCUCAGCACCACA